UCAGACGAUGCGUCAUGCAUAUCAAUAAGCGGAGGAAAAGAAACUAACAAGGAUUCCCCUAGUAACGGCGAGUGAAGCGGGAAGAGCUCAAAUUUGAAAUCUUAAAGGGUUUCCCUUUACGAAUUGUAGUUUAAAGAAGUGUUUUCUGUUGAGGUUUUGGUAAAAGUUCUUUGGAAUAGGACAUCAUAGAGGGUGAGAAUCCCGUAUUUGACCUUUACUUUCAACUUUGUGAUACACUUUCAAAGAGUCAGAUUGUUUGGGAAUGCAGUCCAAAAUGGGUGGUAAAUUUCAUCUAAAGCUAAAUAUUGGCGAGAGACCGAUAGCGAACAAGUACCGUGAGGGAAAGAUGAAAAGAACUUUGAAAAGAGAGUUAAACAGUACGUGAAAUUGUCAAAAGGGAAGCGUUUGACACCAGUGUUGUUUUUCUGAAAAUCAAUUAAAGAACUGUUUAUGCUAAGUUGUUUAGACUUUAUCAGCUAACUGUUUAGUUUUGAGCUUUUCUUUAAUGCACUUUUCAGUUAACAAGUCAACAUCAAUUUCUUUUGCUGUAAAAAAGCUUGAGGAAGGUGGCUUGAGAUUCGUCUUAAGUGUUUAUAGCCUCUUGCCUAUGCAGUCGGAGAGAUUGAGGUCUGCAGCGUAGAUCCUUCGGGGCUAAAUGCAUUUGUGCUAAGUUAUAGCAUUUUAUAGACAACUUGUUGACUAUGAUUUGUCUUGUAGCUUACUCGCUUAUGUUAUUUUACCUACGCUUAGGAUGUUGAGCGCAUGUCUCUCUCU
rnacentral:rRNA from 1 species